UCGAAGCCUCACGAUCAGAGCGACCCGCGAAUAUGUUUGACUACUGAGGGGCGGCUAGAGGUGUUUUGCACCACGGUCCCCCUUGUGUCGGAGGCGUCGCUCCUCGGCGGUCUCCUCCUGACCGAAUAACAAAACCCCGGCGCCGAACGCGCCAAGGAAAUCGAAAUCGUUUAGUUCGCCACCGCCGGCUCGGAGACGGUGCUCGUGCGGGUGGUGUUGCGACACGCGUAUCCAAA
rnacentral:rRNA from 1 species